UCAGAUGCGAAAGCGUGGGGAGCAAAACAGGAUUAGAUACCCUGGUAGUCCACGCCGUAAAACGAUGUCUACUUGGAGGUUGUGGCCUUGAGCCGUGGCUUUCGGAGCUAACGCGUUAAGUAGACCGCCUGGGGAGUACGGUCGCAAGAUUAAAACUCAAAUGAAUUGACGGGGGCCCGCACAAGCGGUGGAGCAUGUGGUUUAAUUCGAUGCAACGCGAAGAACCUUACCUACUCUUGACAUCCAGAGAAGCCAGCGGAGACGCAGGUGUGCCUUCGGGAGCUCUGAGACAGGUGCUGCAUGGCUGUCGUCAGCUCGUGUUGUGAAAUGUUGGGUUAAGUCCCGCAACGAGCGCAACCCUUAUCCUUGUUUGCCAGCACUUCGGGUGGGAACUCCAGGGAGACUGCCGGUGAUAAACCGGAGGAAGGUGGGGACGACGUCAAGUCAUCAUGGCCCUUACGAGUAGGGCUACACACGUGCUACAAUGGCGCAUACAGAGGGCAGCGAACUUGCGAAAGUAAGCGAAUCCCAAAAAGUGCGUCGUAGUCCGGAUUGGAGUCUGCAACUCGACUCCAUGAAGUCGGAAUCGCUAGUAAUCGUAGAUCAGAAUGCUACGGUGAAUACGUUCCCGGGCCUUGUACACACCGCCCGUCACACCAUGGGAGUGGGCUGCAAAAGAAGUAGGUAGUUUAACCUUCGGGAGGAC
rnacentral:rRNA from 1 species